rnacentral:rRNA from 1 species
GACGAACGCUGGCGGCGUGCUUAAUACAUGCAAGUCGAGCGAGGUCCAUCUGGUGGCGACACCAGUGAAGGCCGAGCGGCGAACGGGUGAGUAACACGUGAGCAACCUGCCCCGAAGUCUGGAAUAACAUCGGGAAACCGGUGCUAAUACCGGAUCGCCCCACCUGACCGCAUGAUCGGGUGAGGAAAGAUUUAUCGCUUCGGGAGGGGCUCGCGGCCUAUCAGCAGUUGGUGGGGUAACGGCCUACCAAGGCGUCGACGGGUAGCUGGUCUGAGAGGACGACCAGCCACACUGGGACUGAGACACGGCCCAGACUCCUACGGGAGGCAGCAGUAGGGAAUCUUGCGCAAUGGGCGAAAGCCUGACGCAGCAACGCCGCGUGGGGGAUGACGGCC